AGUGAACGCUGGCGGUAGGCCUAACACAUGCAAGUCGAACGGCAGCACAGUAAGAGCUUGCUCUUACGGGUGGCGAGUGGCGGACGGGUGAGGAAUACAUCGGAAUCUACUUUUUCGUGGGGGAUAACGUAGGGAAACUUACGCUAAUACCGCAUACGACCUACGGGUGAAAGCAGGGGAUCUUCGGACCUUGCGCGAUUGAAUGAGCCGAUGUCGGAUUAGCUAGUUGGCGGGGUAAAGGCCCACCAAGGCGACGAUCCGUAGCUGGUCUGAGAGGAUGAUCAGCCACACUGGAACUGAGACACGGUCCAGACUCCUACGGGAGACAGCAGUGGGGAAUAUUGGACAAUGGGCGCAAGCCUGAUCCAGCCAUACCGCGUGGGUGAAGAAGGCCUUCGGGUUGUAAAGCCCUUUUGUUGGGAAAAAAAAGCAGCAGGUUAAUACCCCGCUGUUCUGACGGUACCCAAAGAAUAAGCACCGGCUAACUUCGUG
rnacentral:rRNA from 1 species